AAUUACAGUGCUAAAUGCACAACUAGCAAAGCAUCUGAAAAUAUUGCCAUCUCGGAGAAAGGUAAACAUAACAGGUGUUACAGGACAACCUGAAACAUGCUAUUUAGCCAAGGCACAGCUGUGGCUACCUGGGGAGAAAAGAGGUACCCUGGUAGAGUUAGCAUUGGCUUCGUGCAAACAUAAUAUCCUUGGGUUUGAUGUUCUAGCAGGCAGAAGAUGGCAUCUUCCUGACGGAACAUUAUGGAGCUUUGGUGCUUAUGAGAUGAGGAACAAGAGGCAAAGCAGUUCCUAGUCUUUCAUCCACAGUGACAGCAAUCCAAGCGGCUUCUCACACCUGGAUGGCGACUCUAGACGUGAAGGACAUGUUCUUCAUGGUGCCGUUGAGAGAAGAGGACAAACCGCAGUUUGCUUUUACCUGGCAAGGUAGCCCCUGAGAUGACCGCAGACUCCGACAAAUCGGGAGUGUGGUUUACAGAUGCAUCCUCUCGGAGGGUGGGGGCGAAGUGGCGCUACAAAGCCGCUGCCUUGGAGAUUGCUACAGGCCAGACAAUCACUGAAGAAGGUGAUGGUAGUGCACAGGUAGGGGAGUUGCGUGCUCUCAUGCUAGCAGCUGAGCAUGGAGCAACAACUAUUUACACUGAUUCUUAUUCCACGUUCAAAGGCGCCACUGAGUGGAUUUGCCAGUGGGAAGCGAAUCAGUGGAAGGUGUCAGGUGUGGAAGUCUGGAGAGUCGAAGACUGGAAAAGGCUAUUAGAGAUUGGCCGAUCCAGACCCCUCAAGGUUGGUUGGGUAGAAGGGCAUUCCAAAAAGCAAACACCAGCUACCACCUGGAAUAAUCAAGCUGAUUUCCUGGCAAAGAUCAA